rnacentral:rRNA from 1 species
AUUGAACGCUGGCGGCAGGCCUAACACAUGCAAGUCGAGCGCGAAAGGCCUUCGGGCUGAGUAGAGCGGCGGACGGGUGAGUAACGCGUAGGAAUCUACCUGGUAGUGGGGGACAACUUGGGGAAACUCAAGCUAAUACCGCAUACGCCCUAUGGGGGAAAGCGGGGACCUUCGGGCCUCGCGCUAUCAGAUGAGCCUGCGUAGGAUUAGCUAGUUGGUGAGGUAAAGGCUCACCAAGGCGACGAUCCUUAGCUGGUCUGAGAGGAUGAUCAGCCACACUGGGACUGAGACACGGCCCAGACUCCUACGGGAGGCAGCAGUGGGGAAUAUUGCGCAAUGGGGGCAACCCUGACGCAGCCAUGCCGCGUGUGUGAAGAAGGCCUUCGGGUUGUAAAGCACUUUAAGUGGGGAGAAAGGCCCGUUGGUUAAUAGCCAGCGGGAUUGAUGUUACCCACAGAAUAAGCACCGGCUAACUCCGUGCCAGCCGCCGCCGUAAAAC